rnacentral:tRNA from 1 species
GGGGGCGUGGCGCAAUUGGUAGCGCAUCUGCUUUGCAAGCAGAGGGUUGUCGGUUCGAGUCCGGUCGCCUCCACCG